rnacentral:rRNA from 1 species
UACGUAGGGUGCAAGCGUUGUCCGGAAUUAUUGGGCGUAAAGAGCUCGUAGGCGGUUUGUUGCGUCGGCUGUGAAAUCCCGAGGCUCAACCUCGGGUCUGCAGUCGAUACGAGCAAACUAGAGUGUUGCAGGGGAGACUGGAAUUCCUGGUGUAGCGGUGAAAUGCGCAGAUAUCAGGAGGAACACCGGUGGCGAAGGCGGGUCUCUGGGCAUUAACUGACGCUGGAGGAGCGAAAAGCAUGGGGGAGCGAAACAGG